rnacentral:lncRNA from 1 species
CUAGACACCCCUUCAACAAAAGACACAUUAGAACUAACCUAAGGAGGAAAACCUAAUACACAUUAGAGGGAAAGCUGCGCUACAGCAGCGUGGAGAUCUUCUUCAGCAGAACCAAACGAACCCCUUCUUCUUGAAAGAAAAAGCAAAGUUUCUUCAUCUUCAAAAAAAAAAGAACAGAGCUCCAUAAGCCAUCUCCACCUAUAUUCUUCAGCCUUCAACACACCCAAAAAAGACCACCAAUAUCGCUGCUCCUCCCAACCAUCACUCCCAACCAAAACCAAUCGCCCAACCCCAUAACUCCGGUGACCACACACACACAGCACCCUACGCAGCCUUCAUCACCCAAACCUAAACCUUCAGACCUAAGUAGAGAGAAUGCCUUCUGUCUCUUCUUCUUCAUCCAACAUCACCACCCGAAAUUGAGUGAAACGUAGAACCUGACAUACCUAAAAACCAGAAUGACCCCUUUAUCUUGGACCUAAAAAGUACAUCAACUUCUUUCUCCCCAAUUGCAGUAGUUGAAGGAGUAUAUCUAAAUUCUUGACCACGGCUAACAGAUACGAGAACGAAGAAAAGGAUAUUUUGUUUACUUCUAUUCAUCCUGGUCUACUCCCCACUAGAACUGCCGGAAAAUCCGCUCCAAUUGUCCCCUCUUACAUUUCUAUCUAAACAAUGUUUUAAUUUGAUUUGGGUGUUGUUCGCUUGGCUGCCAAGUUCAAUUAUGUUUUUUUAAUUUGGGUUUUAAAGUGAAGUAAUUAAGUAUUUCAUUUUGGUUCUACUUUGAUCUGUUUGGUUAUUGGGAGAGGUCUUUCUGUUUGGUAUUCAAUUGGUUCAUGUCAACCUUGAACUGGACUUAAGAUUAAAUCUCUCAUGAGUUCCUCCGUAGUGAAACGGGAACGUGAGGUUCGAUGUUCAGUGUCAGUCACCGAUUCGAGUUCGUGUCAGCGGUUCAUCACAUUUCUGAGUUCAAAACAGUGAAACAAUCAAUCUUCCAGCUAUAUUGAGGUCCAACUCUUUCAUCCUCUAUUCGUUUAUUCAAACAUAAUGUUAAUUAUUUGUUUGGUGAUAUGAUUCCGUUGUUUGUGUAACUCUUUUCCAUGGUUUUGAAUUUGCUCGCUUAGCUAUCUGCUCGUGUUUACUCGAAUUGGUUAUAGUUGAACAUGAUUUUAUCAUAGUAUAGAAAUCGGGUGUGCAUUUCAUGUGACCCUACCAUAAUUUUGAAUAAUAAUAAUACAAAAUAAAUAUGUCACAAUUGCAGGUGCAUUUCAUAUAGCGUGGUUUGCAAUGUGUUCCAAAACAACAAGUGUACGACAAGCGUGAUUUGUUCUAUAAACAUUAAAAGCGGUUAGAAAGUUAAAAAUGCACAUAGGUUUAAAAUGUGUAAUUAAUCAGAUAAUUAGGCCAUUAAUAAUAGUUGAGUAACCGUGCUAAAACCACAGAACCCGGAAAUGCGUAACACCUUCUCGCGGAUUAACAUAAUUCCUUACCCGGAUUUCUGUGUUUCGCGUACAGUAAAACAGAGUAAAACUUCCUCGAUUCGGGAUUUUAAAUCGGUGACUUAGGACACCAUAAAUUAUCCCAAGUGGCGACUAUGAUUUUGAAUAAAUAAUCCCGUUUUGGUUAUUGUCACUUUAAUUGGAAAAACUCCCCUAUACCCUUUUCGGGUAGAAAAAGGAGGUGUGACAGCUCUAGCGACUCUGCUGGGAACAAGAACCCAGAAUCUCUGGUUCAGGGUUCAGAAUUCGAGCUUAGAAUAACUGUUAUAGUUGGCUUUUAUUUAUUAUCUAAUUUUUUAUAUGUUUGAGCCUAAUGUGCUAAUUGUCGCUUUUUACCGCUUUGAUAUUGUUUGGACUGUAUAUAAAUUAUUACGAAACCCUCUUUUCUCGGAGUCUUCUACAUCAUCUGGGAAGUGUGCACUUCGUGUGACUUCUCUUCUGUUAGAGUCAUAUUCCAAUUUUAGAAUGAGGUUCGGACAAGUUGCAAAGCUGGUGAAGCUUCUGUAUUUCCGGUAUGCUGCCCCCUUCGGCUCGAGCUGUCCGCUCCGGUAAGCCAGGUCUAGAACAAAUACACCCAGGUUCUAAAACCUAGAAUAACAUAACUUCAUGCCAGAUCCCUAGUAGGAACGUUUGUUUGCAUCAUGUGCAUUUGACUUAGGGGUCUCAACACAGGGUUGAGUCCGUCUAGGAUAAGUGUACCCAAAAAAUAAAAGACCAUCCUGAUGCAUCCUAAUGUGCUACAUGCUGCAAUUUUCAAGGGUAAAAGGGGUCAUUUGGCGAAUCAAUGAGGGAUGAGGAUAAAUGGAAAAAAAAGGUGAAGUGUAAAAAAAUAAAGCAAGCAGGGCCCAGUUAUGUUUUCUUUCACAUUUUUUUAUGAAAAGACAAAAAAAACAUGAAAAAUCCAAAAAGAUUUUGCACUUUUCCAUCAUUUUUCAAAAAAAAAAAAAGAAGAAUAAAAAAAAAGGAAAAAAGAGUUUACAUGUUUCAUCAUUUUUCAAAAAGACAAAAAAUAUAUUUUCUCUAUAUUAUUUGUUAAUUUUUAAUUCUCGCCCGUAUCCAAUCUUCCCGAACUACGCAUACCUGAUUCUCGUCUUUCGGGGCAUGAUACGUAGACAUUCCACAUAGGGUCCGGUUUUCCUAGUAAGUCUUAGGUUCUUGACUUCGAGGGUCAUAGCCAAAUCUUGCAUGUCUAGCCACUUUUGGCCACAUCGGUCAUUUUGUAAAAUAGGGAUAUUUUUGCAAAGUGUUUUGUUUAAUUGUGUCUGGAGAGCCUUCAAUCCACAAUUAGGUGUCUCUUUACUUUACAGGUUUGUCCUUGUCGAAUUUGCAUGUCUAGCCACUUUUUCCAUAUCAGCCAUUCUUGCAAAAUGGGGUCAUUUUUGCAAAAGUGGUUCAGUGACCCAUGUUUUAGAGUUCUAAGUCCACAACAAGAUGUUCUCCCUGUCUAAGAUCUAUUGUGUUGGAUUUGCAUGCUUAGCCAUUUUUGUCCACAUAGACCAUUUCUAUAAAAAUGGAUCAUUUCUGCAAAGUAAUUUUUCCAUGUCUUAGAGGUCACUUUUGUCGAGUUUGCACUUCUAGCCACCUUUUGGCCAAAUAAGACGUUUUGCAAUAAUAGCCUCAAUCAUGUCUUGCAUGUGUCUAGUAGGAAGUGUUAUUGUCUCACAUAGUGUUGGUUUCAGUUUUCUCAUGCUGGUGUGGAUCUACUUACCGGAGUUUGAGCAUGACAGACACCCCAGAACCAACUAGUCAGGACCGUUGCAUCCAGGAGUUGCUUAAGGAGAUUUUUGUGUUUUGAGUCUGUUUCUUUUUAUGUUGUCUUGUACUUUAUAGUCAUGUCCAGUAGUAAUGAUUCUUUUAGUUGGUGUCGGAGUUUGUCGUAGUAUAGUUGAGUUGUCACGACCCCGGUUCGCCCUCCAUGAACCAUCGUGACGACACCAAGUCUCUACGACUAGGUAAGCCUAAAUUGCAGAAGAAAACCAAAAUUUGCG